UACGUAGGGUGCAAGCGUUGUCCGGAAUUAUUGGGCGUAAAGAGCUCGUAGGCGGUCUGUCGCGUCGGCUGUGAAAACUCGGGGCUCAACUCCGAGCUUGCAGUCGAUACGGGCAGGCUAGAGUUCGGCAGGGGAGACUGGAAUUCCUGGUGUAGCGGUGAAAAUGCGCAGAUAUCAGGAGGAACACCGGUGGCGAAGGCGGGUCUCUGGGCCGAUACUGACGCUGAGGAGCGAAAGCGUGGGGAGCAA
rnacentral:rRNA from 1 species